rnacentral:lncRNA from 1 species
CGGCCGCGCGGAUGGCGCUGGCCACGUCGUCGGCGCUGGCCGGCCGGACGACGGCCGCGGGGCGCGCGCUCACGAGGCCGCCGAAGUCCUUCGCCGCCGCGCACUCGGCCGCGUCGGCGGUGACCACGGUCAGCUCGAGAGCGUCCCGCUCUGUGGCGGCGGCGGCGGCGCGGUCCAUGUACGCGAGCAUCAUCUUGGGCAAGCAGCUUCUCUUCUCGCUGUGUCUGUGAUGAGUUUGUGUAGCUGAGCUGAGGAGAGCAGAGCAGAGCAGAGCUCUCUGUUUUGUGAUGUCACUCGCGCUCUGUCUCCGGCUGUGUUGCGGUCGUGUGGGUCGAGGGGUUUAUAUCGAGAGGACACGCGGACGUCGAUAGCCAUCAC